AAGUCUGAAUCAAAACCCAAACUCGAAAUCCUUGAAACUGACACCCUAAUCUCUCUGAUCCUGGCUAAUCCUGGCUGAUUUAUGCUAACUGGUCGCUUUCAAGAACGGGAUCGCUUACGUGGCAGGGAUUAAGGGAAAUAAGAUGCCACAUAGUGCUGACAGGGGGCCCAACUCAGUAGUCAGCUCGUCGGCCACACGGGGAUGAGAAGGGGGAUUGAGGUGGGGAAUUUUUCAAGGGUUCGUCGGCGGCAUAAAUCAGAGGAGAGGCGGCUCCGGCAUGAAUCAGAGAAGGCAGGCGGGCGGCGGAGGAGGGCAGCACUCAGAUGUCUUCCUCCUCCGGCGCAGCGUACCCUAGAGGUGGGGGCGGGCGGAGGAGGGCAUACGAACCGGCGAAAAGGUGCCCCGCUGGAUUUCCUGGAGUGAUGACAACCCAGGAAGAAGGUACUAUUGCCGCGUCUAUGGAAUUAGAGAUGGUAGUGACUAUUUCCUGUGGCAUGAUUAUCCUUGCCCAUUCAUCAGGCAACUGCCUUUUGAUCUUCGAGAUGUACCGAGGAGGAUUGAGGAUGAACUCUAUGAUGGACAACAAGCAUGGCAGAGAAAUGUAGCAGAUGGUGCACACGGACAACAAGUUGAAGUGAUGAGGGAGAGAGUUGCAACAACUAUUCCAUUGAUUGAGAAAGUAGAAGAGAACAAUGUUGAGAUUGAGGCAUUGAGGGGCAGAGAACUGUAGCAUUGUUUAGGACUGCUGUAUGGCAUCAUGAUAUUUCUGUUAGGAGUAGUUGCAACAAAAAUGCUAGGUUAUUAGAUCAGUGAAUGUAAUGUGAGCUUUUGGAACACUGAAUUAGCAAGUGACUGGAUGUUGUAAUGCAUUUGGUACCCUUUUGUAAGACCAACUAGCAGAAUAUGUCCAUUAUAUAAUGGAGAUUUGUAGUAUUGUUGACA